rnacentral:rRNA from 1 species
UACGUAGGGUGCAAGCGUUAAUCGGAAUUACUGGGCGUAAAGCGUGCGCAGGCGGUUUUGUAAGCCAGAUGUGAAAGCCCCGGGCUUAACCUGGGAAUGGCAUUUGGGACUGCAAGGCUUGAGUACGGAAGAGGCGAGUGGAAUUCCUGGUGUAGCGGUGAAAUGCGCAGAUAUCAGGAGGAACACCAAUUGCGAAGGCAGCUCGCUGGGACGUUACUGACGCUGAGACGCGAAAGCGUGGGGAGCAAACAGG